UACAGAGGGUGCGAGCGUUAAUCGGAAUUACUGGGCGUAAAGCGCGCGUAGGCGGCUUUGCAAGUCGGGUGUGAAAUCCCCAGGCUUAACCUGGGAACUGCAUUCGAGACUGCAUUGCUAGAGUAUGGGAGAGGGAAGUGGAAUUUCCGGUGUAGCGGUGAAAUGCGUAGAUAUAGGAAGGAAUACCAGUGGCGAAGGCGGCCUCCUGGAUCGAUACUGACGCUGAGGCGCGAAAGCGUGGGGAGCAAACAGG
rnacentral:rRNA from 1 species